AGUCACCAUCUUGAUUGAGUGAGUCAUUCAGUCAUUGAUUUAACCGACUCCUUCAAAUGGAUGAUUAAUUCGGAAACGAAGCAAGUAACUGAAUUGCAGACUGAA